rnacentral:rRNA from 1 species
CCUACGGGUGGCUGCAGUGGGGAAUAUUGCGCAAUGGGCGGAAGCCUGACGCAGCAACGCCGCGUGUGGGAAGAAGGUCUUCGGAUUGUAAACCACUGUCUAGGGGGACGAAGGACUGGGGGAGGCAAUGCCCCCGGGGUGACGGUACCCCUGGAGGAAGCCCCUGCUAACUACGUGCCAGCAGCCGCGGUAAUACGUAGGGGGCGAGCGUUGUCCGGAGUUAUUGGGCGUAAAGGGCGUGUAGGCGGCCUGUUAAGUCAGGUGUGAAAUUUCAGGGCUUAACCCUGAAACGGCGUUUGAAACUGGCAGGCUUGAGGACAGGAGAGGGAAGUGGAAUUCCCGGUGUAGCGGUGGAAUGCGUAGAUAUCGGGAGGAACACCAGUGGCGAAGGCGGCUUCCUGGACUGUACCUGACGCUGAGGCGCGAAAGCGAGGGGAGCAAACAGGAUUAGAUACCCCAGUAGUCAC